AGGUGGUGCGUGGCCGUCGUCAGUUCGUACUGUGAAGCAUCCUGUUAAGUCAGGCAACGAGCGAGACCCACGUCCACAGUUGCCAGCAUACCCUCCGGGGUGAUGGGUACACUGUGGAGACCGCCGCUGCUAAAGCGGAGGAAGGAAUGGGCAACGGUAGGUCAGUAUGCCCCGAAUCUCCCGGGCUACACGCGGGCUACAAUGGUUGGUACAAUGGGCAUCUACCCCGAAAGGGGAAGGAAAUCUCUUAAAGCCAAUCGUAGUUCGGAUUGAGGGCUGCAACUCGCCCUCAUGAAGCUGGAAUCCGUAGUAAUCGCGUUUCAACAGAACGCGGUGAAUACGUCCCUGCUCCUU
rnacentral:rRNA from 1 species